rnacentral:tRNA from 1 species
GCGUCCUUAACCCUAAUUGGUAAGGGAUUGGCCUUGAAAACCAAUAGUAAUCAUAGGAAUAUGGUGUCUCAGUUCGAGUCUGAGAGGGCGCG